rnacentral:rRNA from 1 species
GACGAACGCUGGCGGCGUGCUUAACACAUGCAAGUCGAACGAAGUGGCGAACGGGUGAGUAACACGUGGGUAACCUGCACUCCUUUUUGGGAUAAGCCUUGGAAACGGGGUUUAAUACUGAAUUUAGGGGGAUGGGCUCGGGGCCUAUCAGCUUGUUGGUGGGGGGAUGGCCUACCAAGGCGGUGACGGGUUGCCGGCCUGAGAGGGUGACCGGACACAUUGGGACUGAGAUGAGGCUGAGAUGCCUACGGGAGGCAGUAGUGGGGUAUAUUGCGCGAUGGGCGAAAGCCUGGGGCAGCGAGGCCGCGGGGGGGAUGAAGGCUUACGGGUUUGAAACCGCUUUCGCUAUCGAAGGGGUAGGUGGAGAAGAAGCGCCGGCUAACUACGUGCCAGCAGCCGCGGUAAUAC